rnacentral:sRNA from 1 species
AGCUGCUGACGUUUCCUCCCUUGACUUUGGGCCGCUUUGGGCGGCCCCUUUUUCGCCAAAUC